AGGGUUCGAUCCUGGCUCAGGAUGAACGCUGGCGGCGUGCUUAACACAUGCAAGUCGAACGGGAUCCAUCAGGCUUUGCUUGGUGGUGAGAGUGGCGAACGGGUGAGUAACACGUAUCCAACCUGCCGAUGACUCGGGGAUAGCCUUUCGAAAGAAAGAUUAAUACCCGAUGGCAUAAUUCUUCCGCAUGGUAGAACUAUUAAAGAAUUUCGGUCAUCGAUGGGGAUGCGUUCCAUUAGGUUGUUGGCGGGGUAACGGCCCACCAAGCCUUCGAUGGAUAGGGGUUCUGAGAGGAAGGUCCCCCACAUUGGAACUGAGACACGGUCCAA
rnacentral:rRNA from 1 species